AAGGAGGAACAUUAUCUAAAGAAGAGCUAAUUGCAGCUUACAUGGAGCAGAUUAAAAAAGAUAUUCAGAAGCAAAUUACUGAUGAUGAUGUUUUAAUGAGGGAUAAUUUUAAAGAUUCUCAGAGUGUAAAUAGUAUAACUUUAGAAGAUUUACCGGAUCUACUCAAGAAAGCUGAAGAAGAGAUUUUGAAAAUCAAAAAAGCCACUUAAGUUUCUAGAAGGGGCUAUUAUGUAAUUUUAUUCAUUUUACUGUAUGAUUAUUGACUUUUAUGUCGGUUACUAUGCACUUUUACUGUGCACGAUAUUUUCUAUAAAUAGGGUAGAUUUCAUUUAGAGGGCAAGGUUUUCGGAACCCCUCUCUCUCUCACUAAGAUUUUCCUCUCCCUUCUCUCUAAAAUUCCCUUUUGUAAUACUACUUGUAAUAGUUAUUGUGAAUAAAUAAAAGAAGUUCUGGUAAUCAGGUACUUUCCAUUUCUUGAGUUGUAUUAUUUUCUAUAUUAUAAUUGUGUUUUAUUUGUUUAUUUGACCAAUGAUGGGCUAAAUCCAUAAGUGU
rnacentral:lncRNA from 1 species